GCCAAGGUUCUUAGGGUUUCAUUUCAUUCUUCACCGUUUCUCACAUUGCAAUCUUGCAAAACAUUUCAUUUAACUUUUUAAUUUGUAAGUGAUGAAGUCAAGGGCUGAAGCAAUAUAGGGGAGAGCAGUAUUAUACCAUGGCUCUGAAAUACCCAUAGGUUUUCUAUGGGGUGCCCUGCUUUUCAAGCCCUAAACAUCAAAAUUAAAAUGGUAUCAUAGUACGGAUUUUGUGCUUUCUACACAAAUCCGCCUCCAAACGCCAUUACAUCACAACUUCAUUACUCUCUUUUCUCUAUUUAUUUAACUUGUUUUCAUUUGAUUUGUUGUUUCUUUAACAUACGUAAACCAUAGAUUCAUGAACCUAUAGCUUAAAAUAGUGACAUCUAUGUAAAUUUCAUACUACAUGAGUAUUGAAAUUUGAGUAAUGAGGUCUGGUUUUUGAUUUCAUCUUUUACUUGAUUUGGGUUUUGAACAUAACAAGAUUCUGAAGUAAUUAUUGAAUAGUGGUCCUUUGAGUGUAUGUGAUUUUCUCGAAUUAUUGACUCGUACAAGUGUCUAUGGAUGUACAAGUGUCUGGUGUCUAUGUUUCAUACUAUUUUACUAUCUUUCAAUGAUAUUAGUCAUUAAGUAACAGGUUAGAAAUAUAGGUCUAACCUUAUAUUUGGAUCUGAGUUCUCUAAUACUAGUACUAGUAUAAUUCUCGAAUUUGUAAUUUAUAAGGAACAUUCUUCAACUUCUUAUUUGUGGACAGUUUAGACUAUUGAGAUUUCUUCUGUUAUUGAUAUCAAAUGGGUAAAUGAACAUGUUCAUUGUACUUUGAUUGUUCGUCAAUAUCAGCUCAUUACAGAUUAAUAUGUAUAUGAAAUGGAAAUUAAUCUAUGGACUAUGUCUGAUGACGUGAUGAUGAUAUUGGUGCGAGGUGCUUUGGAGGGUUUGCUUGCAUAUUCCAUUAACCUAUUAUGUCAUAGUCCUUAACUUUAAAAGAAUAAUAAAAAACUUUUUUUUUUUUUU
rnacentral:lncRNA from 1 species